CCUCCCGCCUCCCCGGAGGGUCGCCCGCCCCGGAGCCCCGGGACCGGGCGAUGACGGCGGGGGGGGGGGGGGGGGGGGGCGCUUGGCCCCGGAGGGGCCGCGGGGAAACGCGGCCGUAGCGCAGCUCCGCGCCCCCCGGCCCGGCCCCCGCCGCCCCGGGAGGUUCUUGGGCCAGGCGCGGAGGCUCCGGCCGCGGAACGAGGCUUGACCCGCCGACGCCGGCGGGGAAAGCGUUUGCGUUCAGGGACCCACAGCUGCCAUCUCCCCUUGAGAGUUACCGCCAAGGACUGAAUUCUCCUGCCCCGAGCCUCCCGUGGGUUCCCCUAGCUCUAGGGAGCUCACGGGGAGAGACCGCGGCUGGGGGUACACCUACCAGGGCAGCUCUACCCCUCCACCUUAAAGCUCUACAUGCUCCCCAUCUGCUAAUCGAUGGCUUUCCUUUGACUCCCCAUGCUCCAGGAGCUGUGCCCGCUUAUAGAAAAACGAGGUAAACAGCCUGAAAACGCUCCAGAGCGGUGAUACUGCGGGCAUCCAGCUGCCACGAUAAAGCCUCUGCAGACAUUUCAAUUGGGUUACAAAGCCACUUCUGCGUCCGAACAGUAUUCAGGUACUGCAAGGCCAGUGACUGUACACGAGCAUCCGGAGCCAUCAGCAAUGUUUUUGUUUUACACCAGUGGAAAAUAAGCAGCUGAAUGCUCGGUCCUGUUCGACCACAAGCUCUCAGAGGUGGCCUGGGCCAAGUGAUGGGUCAGUAGCCAAGGCACAGGCCUGCGGCACAACGGAGUUCCUUCUGACCUUGGCGACUCUUGCUUCGCUUCUUUGCGCUUUCCCUUCCUUUCUGUUACAGGAGGUACAAUCAAACCUUCCUUCUCAGAAAAGGAUAGGGAAGUUCCCUUCUUUCAAAGUACUUCGAAAUCACAUGGAAAACAUUGAACAUCUAAAAAGUAUUUCUACACCAGGAAGCUGCACAUCGCAUUCUGAGUUUGAUUAAUCACUUUUCGGGGCAGUGCUAGCUGGAGCAGCGGUCCUUCCCUUCCACUCCCAGAUGUUUCCAUCCUGUCGGAGCUCUCUGUCCAGCUGUUACAGCCAGGCUGCCUGCCGCAUCCAGUCCACAAUGGAGCCACAAAAACCCAGAUGGACCAGCAUGACAGGGGUAAUGAGGAAAGCAGGUCAGUUAAGCAGCACUACCACCGAACAUGAAACCAUAAGCCUUAGCACUUGUGUGCGAUUCAUGCUUUAGCAGUAUGAUUUAACACUACAGUAAGUUUCGUUUAAUAAUGUCAGAUUAAAAAAAACCUGCAUCCAGGUUGUUAAAAAAAAAAAACAAACAAACCAACUGUGGGUGUCAGUCCUGACUGACAUCACCAGCUAAGAUGUCUGCUUUAUGCCUUGCGCUCAUCGUCUUCACAGACACUCAGUUACUGCAUUCCUUAUGCUCGCCAGUUACUCUGCGAAGGCAAGGCUGACUGAACUUCCCAGGCUCUGCCGGGUGCACAAGAAGCCAUGAGGGGACCCGGACAGGACAGUGACCCCAACUGACCCCAGGGAUGUCCCACACCACAUGGCGUCAUGCUCAGCACACAGAGCUGGGGGAAGAAGGAGGAAGGGGGGGACGUUUGGAGCGAUGGCGUUUCCCUUCCCAAGUCACCGUUACGCGUGAUGGAGCCCUGCUGCCCUGGGGAUGGCUGAGCCACGCCUGCCCGUGGGAAGGGGAGAAUGAAUUCCUGCUUUUGCUUUCCUUCCAUGUGCAGCUUUUUUUACCGAUUAAACUGUCUUUAUGUCAAC